CUACAGGCUUAACACAUGCAAGUCGAGGGGCAGCAUGGUCUUAGCUUGCUAAGGCCGAUGGCGACCGGCGCACGGGUGAGUAACACGUAUCCAACCUGCCGUCUACUCUUGGACAGCCUUCUGAAAGGAAGAUUAAUACAAGAUGGCAUCAUGAGUCCGCAUGUUCACAUGAUUAAAGGUAUUCCGGUAGACGAUGGGGAUGCGUUCCAUUAGAUAGUAGGCGGGGUAACGGCCCACCUAGUCUUCGAUGGAUAGGGGUUCUGAGAGGAAGGUCCCCCACAUUGGAACUGAGACACGGUCCAAACUCCUACGGGAGGCAGCAGUGAGGAAUAUUGGUCAAUGGGCGAGAGCCUGAACCAGCCAAGUAGCGUGAAGGAUGACUGCCCUAUGGGUUGUAAACUUCUUUUAUAAAGGAAUAAAGUCGGGUAUGGAUACCCGUUUGCAUGUACUUUAUGAAUAAGGAUCGGCUAACUCCGUGCCAGCAGCCGCGGUAAUACGGAGGAUCCGAGCGUUAUCCGGAUUUAUUGGGUUUAAAGGGAGCGUAGAUGGAUGUUUAAGUCAGUUGUGAAAGUUUGCGGCUCAACCGUAAAAUUGCAGUUGAUACUGGAUAUCUUGAGUGCAGUUGAGGCAGGCGGAAUUCGUGGUGUAGCGGUGAAAUGCUUAGAUAUCACGAAGAACUCCGAUUGCGAAGGCAGCCUGCUAAGCUGCAACUGACAUUGAGGCUCGAAAGUGUGGGUAUCAAACAGGAUUAGAUACCCUGGUAGUCCACACGGUAAACGAUGAAUACUCGCUGUUUGCGAUAUACUGCAAGCGGCCAAGCGAAAGCGUUAAGUAUUCCACCUGGGGAGUACGCCGGCAACGGUGAAACUCAAAGGAAUUGACGGGGGCCCGCACAAGCGGAGGAACAUGUGGUUUAAUUCGAUGAUACGCGAGGAACCUUACCCGGGCUUAAAUUGCAGAUGAAUUACGGUGAAAGCCGUAAGCCGCAAGGCAUCUGUGAAGGUGCUGCAUGGUUGUCGUCAGCUCGUGCCGUGAGGUGUCGGCUUAAGUGCCAUAACGAGCGCAACCCUUGUUGUCAGUUACUAACAGGUUCCGCUGAGGACUCUGACAAGACUGCCAUCGUAAGAUGUGAGGAAGGUGGGGAUGACGUCAAAUCAGCACGGCCCUUACGUCCGGGGCUACACACGUGUUACAAUGGGGGGUACAGAGGGCCGCUACCACGCGAGUGGAUGCCAAUCCCCAAAACCUCUCUCAGUUCGGACUGGAGUCUGCAACCCGACUCCACGAAGCUGGAUUCGCUAGUAAUCGCGCAUCAGCCACGGCGCGGUGAAUACGUUCCCGGGCCUUGUACACACCGCCCGUCAAGCCAUGGGAGCCGGGGGUACCUGAAGUGCGUAACCGCGAGGAGCGCCCUAGGGUAAAACUGGUGACUGGGGCUAAGUCAU
rnacentral:rRNA from 1 species